CUAAACUACAUAAAACAUAAAUAUAAUAAUCCAACUAUGAUCAUAAUUGAGAACAAUAUGUACAUCAAAAGCCUAUAAACAUUGUAGAAUUGUGAUGAAGUUUUCAAAUGGAAGGAAAGUUGCAGUUUGGGGUUAUAUAUAUUUAACAUUUUUGUUCAUUAUAAGAUACCUUUGUUUUGACAUUUGAUCUCCUUGUUAAUUCUUUGAGUUGGUAAAUAGUAACUCAUGUGUGGGAUGUGACGAUGUGAGUGUGGGUUGUAGUUCCAUAAUCAUCUGUCAUCGGUUAUCGUCGCUCAUCGACCUCACCUGCCGUUUCACUUAUUGAGCAGGUAACAAAUUUGUUUUUUCAUGUUUGAUGCCUUGACGAUUUUGAAUUAUUUUGCAUUGGAAUCAUUAGAAUGCAACUGUGCCUUGCGGAUGCGUUUAAUUGUCAGGAGGACAAUGACAUGUGCAAAAUUUAGAGGCCAAAUGAAUUCAAACAACAGAAUGAAAGCUAAGGUCCAAACUUAAAAAGAAGGGAAAGAAAUGGCAAGCCAAGCAGCUAAUUCUAUCAAUGGCAACAUGAAGGCAAACCUUCUGUAUUUUUACACUCAUACAUAUUAAUCAUGUUGUCUUUGUAGGUUCAACAGGAGUCGACAACUUCAUGAGUUUUCUUUCAAAGAAUAUUUUCAGAGACGAACAUUCUCGGUUGGUCGUUUAUGCUUCUGCAGAAAAUCUUGUUAGAUGUAUUCUAAUGUUAUUUAAAAUAUAUUUUGAUUAAGGGUUGGGAUUCCGUACUUGUAAAUUGUUGACACUUCAUUGGAAAUGUAUGAAUAUUAUAAAUUGUAUUAUAUCGUAUAUAUAUUAAAGUGUUAGCUACUUUUUUCUA